GAUGAACGCUAGCGGUAGGCUUAACACAUGCAAGUCGAGGGGCAGCACGGGUAGCAAUACUUGGUGGCGACCGGCGCACGGGUGAGUAACGCGUAUGCAACCUACCUAUAACUGGAGAAUAGCCCUCUGAAAAGGGGAUUAAUGUUCCAUAAUGUUCAGAAGCCGCAUGGUUUUUGGACUAAAGCUCCGGCGGUUAUAGAUGGGCAUGCGUGACAUUAGCUAGUUGGUGAGGUAACAGCUCACCAAGGCUACGAUGUCUAGGGGGUCUUAAAGGAUGAUCCCCCACACUGGUACUGAGACACGGACCAGACUCCUACGGGAGGCAGCAGUGAGGAAUAUUGGUCAAUGGGCGCAAGCCUGAACCAGCCAAGCCGCGUGCAGGAUGAAGGCCCUAUGGGUUGUAAACUGCUUUUAUACGGGAAGAACCCCCCGACGUGUCGGGGACUGACGGUACCGUACGAAUAAGCAUCGGCUAACUCCGUGCCAGCAGCCGCGGUAAUACGGAGGAUGCAAGCGUUAUCCGGAUUUAUUAGGUAUAAAGGGUGCGUAGGCGGACCUGUUAGUCAGUGGUGAAAUACUACGGCUUAACCGUAGAACUGCCAUUGAUACUGCAGGUCUUGAGUACAGUUGAGGUAGGCGGAAUGUGUGGUGUAGCGGUGAAAUGCUUAGAUAUCACACAGAACACCGAUUGCGAAGGCAGCUUACUAAGUUGUAACUGACGCUGAUGCACGAAAGCAUGGGGAGCAAACAGGAUUAGAUACCCUGGUAGUCCAUGCCGUAAACGAUGAUCACUCGCUGUUUGUCCAUUAGGAUAAGUGGCUGAGCUAACGCAUUAAGUGAUCCACCUGGGGAGUACGGCGGCAACGCUGAAACUCAAAGGAAUUGACGGGGGCCCGCACAAGCGGAGGAACAUGUGGUUUAAUUCGAUGAUACGCGAGGAACCUUACCUGGGUUUAAAUGCAGGACGCAAGUCACGUGAAAGCGAGACCCUCCUUCGGGACGGACUGCAAGGUGCCGCAUGGUUGUCGUCAGCUCGUGCCGUGAGGUGUCGGGUUAAGUCCCAUAACGAGCGCAACCCUCAUCGUUAGUUACCAGCGGAUAAUGCCGGGGACUCUAACGAGACUGCCACCGUAAGGUGAGAGGAAGGUGGGGAUGACGUCAAAUCAGCACGGCCCUUAUAUCCAGGGCUACACACGUGUUACAAUGGCCAGUACAAAGGGCAGCUACCUGGUGACAGGAUGCUAAUCUCAAAAACUGGUCUCAGUUCGGAUCGAAGUCUGCAACUCGACUUCGUGAAGUUGGAUUCGCUAGUAAUCGCGCAUCAGCAAUGGCGCGGUGAAUACGUUCCCGGGCCUUGUACACACCGCCCGUCAAGCCAUGGAAGCCGGGGGUACCUAAAGUCUGUAACCGAAAGGAGCGGCUUAGGGUAAAACUGGUGACUGGGGCU
rnacentral:rRNA from 1 species